GCCGGAGUGGUGGAACAGGCAGACACGCGGGAUUUAGGUUCCCGUGCCCCCGGGCGUGCGGGUUCGACUCCCGCCUUCGGCA
rnacentral:tRNA from 1 species